CGCAAUGAUCGUGAGCAGUGA
rnacentral:miRNA from 1 species